CAAAAAUCUGAACCCUUAAAAAUUCCUACCAUUUUUUUUUUUAAGAGUAUGAUGUCGUUUAUGAAAAGACAGAUCUCAACAGAAACAAAUUCAGAGGAACUUGUACGUUUUCGAAAACAAUUGCAGGUUGCAGGUACCAAAAUUAUGAAAAGCGCUAACUUCCCUUCCUUAUUCCAACUACCCCCCUCCUUCUUGUAGCUAGUGGCGAGAAUGUAAGCUAUUGGCGUACUGCAAACCCAAAUGAAAAUUCUGACCAAUCACACGCAAUCGGAGUUCUGGUUGUAUUUUCUUUGUCUAACUGCGAACGUUUAAAAUUUUCAAGUGCUAUUUAGUUCUGUAUUAGAUUCAUCAUAGUGAACACCGAUUUGUAAGUACGAGCGGUAUUUUGAACUUUCAUAAUGGUGAGCCGCUUCUCAACCCAGAGAAAAUCAGUUCUGUAUUAAUAAUUUUCUAGGAUCUGCAAUCAAGAGUAAGGGAAGUUUCAUUGCAUCUCUCGGAAAAAGAUAGUGAUGUGAUUAGUAUAACAAUACUGUAUGACGGAAAAAAUGAAAAUUGCGAAGUGGACGACGAAUUAGUCAAAGUUAUAAAACAACUUCCUCACUUGUAUGAUGAAAAUCAUGACUUAUAUCAUAACAAAAGGAAAAAACGGAAAUCAUGGGUUGUCAUUUCCAAAUUAUUGAACCUUGAUGUCGCGACCGCUCGAUGUAGAUGGCAAGAACUUCUUGAUACUUUUAUACAGGAAUACACAGAUUUUCCCCCUCUUGGAAAACCUUUACAAAAAAAGAAGUCUCACGAGCUCACACUUUUUGAUAAAAUGUUGUGGUUGGUUCCAUACCUUCCUAAAUGUCUCGAGGCAUCAACUGCUACUACUAAAGUCGAAUUCGAAGAAAUAAAUCAUUUUGAAAAUAACGUUAGUACUGAAGAGAAACAAGUAAACAAUGUUGAAAUUUCAUUACCACCAGUGAGUGAUCAGUUUUUUAUGAUGGCAAUUGGGGAAGUUUUACAAGGUUUUUCCUCAGAAAAGAAACUUAAA